rnacentral:scRNA from 1 species
CGCCAAAUCCGCCGCGCUCCACUCCCGGCAGAAGUUGUC